rnacentral:ribozyme from 13 species
UGUCUUUUUCUUUUUUUCUCUCCUUUUUUUUUCUUUUUUUUUUUUUUUUUUGUAAUUCAUUUUCGUUUCAAACUUAUGUAAAUUUUA